rnacentral:rRNA from 1 species
UACGUAGGGGGCUAGCGUUGUCCGGAUUUAUUGGGCGUAAAGAGCGUGUAGGCGGCCAGGUAGGUCUGCUGUGAAAACUCGAGGCUCAACCUCGAGACGUCGGCAGAAACCAUCUGGCUAGAGUCCGGAAGAGGAGAGUGGAAUUCCUGGUGGUAGCGGUGAAAUGCGCAGAUAUCAGGAAGAACACCCGUGGCGAAGGCGGCUCUCUGGGACGGUACUGACGCUGAGACGCGAAAGCGUGGGGAGCGAACAGG